GGAAUAUUGGACAAUGGGCGCAAGCCUGAUCCAGCCAUGCCGCGUGCAGGAUGACGGUCCUAUGGAUUGUAAACUGCUUUUAUACGAGAAGAAACACUGCUACGUGUAGCAGCUUGACGGUAUCGUAAGAAUAAGGAUCGGCUAACUCCGUGCCAGCAGCCGCGGUAAUACGGAGGAUCCAAGCGUUAUCCGGAAUCAUUGGGUUUAAAGGGUCCGUAGGCGGUUUAAUAAGUCAGUGGUGAAAGCCCAUCGCUCAACGGUGGAACGGCCAUUGAUACUGUUAGACUUGAAUUAUUAGGAAGUAACUAGAAUAUGUAGUGUAGCGGUGAAAUGCUUAGAGAUUACAUGGAAUACCAAUUGCGAAGGCAGGUUACUACUAAUUGAUUGACGCUGAUGGACGAAAGCGUGGGUAGCGAACAGGAUUAGAUACCCGAG
rnacentral:rRNA from 1 species